rnacentral:rRNA from 1 species
ACACUCCUGCGGGAGGCAGCAGUGGGGAAUUUUGGACAAUGGGCGAAAGCCUGAUCCAGCCAUGCCGCGUGCAGGAUGAAGGCCUUCGGGUUGUAAACUGCUUUUGUACGGAACGAAACGGCCUUUUCUAAUAAAGAGGGCUAAUGACGGUACCGUAAGAAUAAGCACCGGCUAACUACGUGCCAGCAGCCGCGGUAAUACGUAGGGUGCAAGCGUUAAUCGGAAUUACUGGGCGUAAAGCGUGCGCAGGCGGUUAUGUAAGACAGUUGUGAAAUCCCCGGGCUCAACCUGGGAACUGCAUCUGUGACUGCAUAGCUAGAGUACGGUAGAGGGGGAUGGAAUUCCGCGUGUAGCAGUGAAAUGCGUAGAUAUGCGGAGGAACACCGAUGGCGAAGGCAAUCCCCUGGACCUGUACUGACGCUCAUGCACGAAAGCGUGGGGAGCAAACAGGAUUAGAUACCCCUGUAGUCCCA